ACUUACAGAUGGACCCGCGGCGCAUUAGCUAGUUGGUGGGGUAAUGGCUCACCAAGGCGACGAUGCGUAGCCGACCUGAGAGGGUGAUCGGCCACACUGGGACUGAGACACGGCCCAGACUCCUACGGGAGGCAGCAGUAGGGAAUCUUCCGCAAUGGACGAAAGUCUGACGGAGCAACGCCGCGUGAGUGAUGAAGGUUUUCGGAUCGUAAAGCUCUGUUGUUAGGGAAGAACAAGUGCGAGAGUAACUGCUCGCACCUUGACGGUACCUAACCAGAAAGCCACGGCUAACUACGUGCCAGCAGCCGCGGUAAUACGUAGGUGGCAAGCGUUGUCCGGAAUUAUUGGGCGUAAAGGGCUCGCAGGCGGUUUCUUAAGUCUGAUGUGAAAGCCCCCGGCUCAACCGGGGAGGGUCAUUGGAAACUGGGAAACUUGAGUGCAGAAGAGGAGAGUGGAAUUCCACGUGUAGCGGUGAAAUGCGUAGAGAUGUGGAGGAACACCAGUGGCGAAGGCGACUCUCUGGUCUGUAACUGACGCUGAGGAGCGAAAGCGUGGGGAGCGAACAGGAUUAGAUACCCUGGUAGUCCACGCCGUAAACGAUGAGUGCUAAGUGUUAGGGGGUUUCCGCCCCUUAGUGCUGCAGCUAACGCAUUAAGCACUCCGCCUGGGGAGUACGGUCGCAAGACUGAAACUCAAAGGAAUUGACGGGGGCCCGCACAAGCGGUGGAGCAUGUGGUUUAAUUCGAAGCAACGCGAAGAACCUUACCAGGUCUUGACAUCCUCUGACAACCCUAGAGAUAGGGCUUUCCCUUCGGGGACAGAGUGACAGGUGGUGCAUGGUUGUCGUCAGCUCGUGUCGUGAGAUGUUGGGUUAAGUCCCGCAACGAGCGCAACCCUUGAUCUUAGUUGCCAGCAUUUAGUUGGGCACUCUAAGGUGACUGCCGGUGACAAACCGGAGGAAGGUGGGGAUGACGUCAAAUCAUCAUGCCCCUUAUGACCUGGGCUACACACGUGCUACAAUGGACAGAACAAAGGGCUGCGAGACCGCAAGGUUUAGCCAAUCCCAUAAAUCUGUUCUCAG
rnacentral:rRNA from 1 species